rnacentral:lncRNA from 1 species
ACUUAAGAUUAGUAUUAGUGCUAUUUCUAAAUAUCUAUGUGUAUGUCGCAUACAUACACAUAUAUGACAUAUAUAUGUGUGUGUUUUCUUUUAAGCAAUUGCAAGUUUCCAAAUACAUGCAAAGUAAAGAAAAGCAAACAAUACUUUUCAAUUAAUUGUUGGCGACAUAGCUUAUGUAUUAAAGUCUUCUGUCACAGUUGACUCAGCAAGAAUGAAGACAUUGAU